ensembl:lncRNA
CACCAGGCCAGGCUAAGGACUAACCACCAGCCAGCUCCACCAGGCCAGGCUAAGGACUAACCACCAGCCAGCUCCUCCAGGCCAGGCUAAGGACUAACCACCUGCCAGCUCCACCAGGCCAGGCUAAGGACUAACCACCUGCCAGCUCCACCAGGCCAGGCUCCAGCAGCAGCAGCUGCCUCCUAAAAAAUGACCCCCUUGUGAUGAGGAUUCGGCUGUUACAAUGAAUGUUUUCGCAAAGUCAUUGGAUCAGCAGAAAGAGUUUUACAAGGAGAUGUUACUGCAGCAACAGGAUAACUUUAAAUGCUUUAUUCAGCUCAUCAUGGAUGCUACUAACAAGAGACUGGAUGGCGUUAUAAGAGGUGUGCAGGACCGUAAAACCGGCUUGGAAUUCACCCAAGAAAAGUUUGAAGAGAAAAGAGGAGGCUACAUUGAGUUUGAAACAAAUAGAGAGUGUAUACAUUGGCGCCAGGAACGAGUAACUACCACGGUAUCUCAAAGUACGAUCUGGCGAUCACUGCCGGGAAAACAGGUGUAUUUAAAGGGGAGUUGAUGCAGGCCAGGUGUGAGCAGUUCAUUGGCAGGAAAAGCACAGAGACAGGCAGGGUGUGUGGCCAACACAGUUGGAGAAUAAAGAGCACCACAACAGUGGCCAUGACAUCACUGGCUUGAAAUGGUUCAACGCUCAAUCAUUCUGAUUAUGUCUCUGAUUUUAAACUAACGUUUUAAUUUGUCUUAUGGGUACAAAGAAAAAAACGACUUCUGUGUCAUUAAAUUGCCAAAUAAUGGUUUGAUAUUAGCUCAUUUAAAAAUGUGCAGCCUAAGAAACAAGCGAAGCGGUCUGACCUUUUUUCAUCAUUGUCGUGAUCUCCCUGCCGCAGCUCUGCGACACACCCUUGGAAGAACUGAUCCCUGCAGGAUAUCACGAUUACGAAGUUGAGAGCAACGUGAUACAUCCAACCGGUCAUCGAGGCAACGUCCUCGCUAGUGUUGGGGGCCAAAUCGAUGGCGACCACGCUGUGCAGUGGAUCGAGCGGAACAGUACCUACCACCUUCUGUGCCUUCUGUUGAAAGGGUCUCCCGAAGCUGGAAUGGAAGAUGGAUCUCCGAAACCUCUUCUCCAUCUGAAUGAGAACGACUCUGGACACGACGUGAAUCUGGAGGACUCAGAAACUGCUUCUGAACAACCACAAGGAUCAACUGCUGUCAUGUGCAUUAAAAGGUCCCAUAUUAUACCACAAGUUGUGUGUGAUCAUCCAUUCCGUGUGCUGGAUAGAUGAGCAUGGUGGUAUAAUAUGUCCCCUUUAUGCUAUCGAGUACUGAAAAAAGAUGUACACUUCAGUUGCCAACUUGAAUAAUGAACACAACUUUUGCAGUGGGAACGCACACCAACAAGAAACAGUGCAAAUCAGGUCAGAACGGCAUGCAGCACGAGACGGA